rnacentral:tmRNA from 1 species
GGGGAUGCACCGGCAUUCGACAGGGAUCUUUAAAAGUCAUGGGUUUGCGAUUACGGCGUCGCGCUGUCCGCCGUUAGAUCCGUCCAGCGCAAAACAACUGCUAACGCAGAAGAGAACGGGCUUGUUGCAGCUCUUCGUGGGCUUGUAGCAAACGACGAACCAGCUUUGGUUCCUGUCGCUGCCUAACUCAAUCUCUCCCCGCAUAGCGAGGGAGACGUCGCACAUUAUGAGUCCUCAUAGUAGUGCGCGGCGUAACUUAUGAGGAUCGGCAAGUGUUCUGCUCAAACAUGCGCCUAAACUCUAGAGCUAAGCCAUAGAGGCUUUCUGUUUGUCCUUUAUCUCUGCGGCCGACAAUUCAGGAUAAACUACAAUCGUAGAAGAUCCAUCACUUUAUCCUUGGACGGGGGUUCGACUCCCCCCAUCUCCACCA